GNACGGCGAGUGANAGGAAGAGCUCAAAGUUGGAACCUGUUUGGCCUAGCUAAACCGGAUUGUAGACUGUAGAAGUGUUUUCCAGGCAAGCCGAGUAAAUAAGUCCUUUGGAACAGGGCAUCAUAGAGGGUGAGAAUCCCGUCUUUGGCUUGAGCAUUUGCCUUUUGUGAUACGCUUUCAAAGAGUCAGGUUGUUUGGGAAUGCAGCCUAAAUUGGGUGGUAAAUCUCACCUAAAGCUAAAUAUUGGCGAGAAACCGAUAGCGAACAAGUACCGUGAGGGAAAGAUGAAAAGAACUUUGAAAAGAGAGUUAAACAGUAUGUGAAAUUGUUAAAAGGGAACCGUUUGGAGCCAGACUGGCUUGUCUGUAAUCAAUCUAGGCUUCGGCCUGGAUGCACUUGCAGGCUAUGCCUGCCAACGACAAUUUGACUUGAGGGAAAAAACUAGGGGAAAUGUGGCCCACUUGUGGGUGUUAUAGUCCCUUAGAAAAUACCUUGGGUUGGAUUGAGGAACGCAGCGAAUGCUUAUUGGCGAGUUUUCCAGGAAGGUUUUCUGAGGUACUACGGUAUCAAGGUUGAUCUUUUUGGUUAUACUUCUAUUCGCUUAGGUUGUUGGCUUAAUGACUCUAAAUGACCCGUCUUNNACCNNNNNACC
rnacentral:rRNA from 1 species